rnacentral:other from 1 species
ACGGUUAUAAAUCAACAUAUUGAUUUAUAAGCAUGGAAAUCCCCUGAGUGAAACAACGAAUUGUUGUGUGUAGUCUUUGCCCAUCUCCCACGAUGGGCUUUUUUUUAA